rnacentral:tRNA from 1 species
AAGUGAGAAGCAAAAUUUGCAAUCAGUUUCGACCUGGUCCUAGAUAAUAAAUUAUCCUCACUUU